GUAACAAGGUUUCCGUAGGUGAACCUGCGGAAGGAUCAUUACAGUAGUCACCCGGGUUGCCGCAAGGCCGCUCGGGUAACCUACCACCCUUUGUUUAUUACACUUUGUUGCUUUGGCAGGCCUGCCUUCGGGCUGCUGGCUCCGGCCGGCGAGCGCUUGCCAGAGGACCUAAACUCUGUUUGUCUAUACUGUCUGAGUACUAUAUAAUAGUUAAAACUUUCAACAACGGAUCUCUUGGUUCUGGCAUCGAUGAAGAACGCAGCGAAAUGCGAUAAGUAAUGUGAAUUGCAGAAUUCAGUGAAUCAUCGAAUCUUUGAACGCACAUUGCGCCCCCUGGUAUUCCGGGGGGCAUGCCUGUCCGAGCGUCAUUACAACCCUCAAGCUCUGCUUGGUGUUGGGCCCCGCCGCCCCGGCGGGCCCUAAAGUCAGUGGCGGUGCCAUCCGGCUCCGAGCGUAGUAAUUCUUCUCGCUCUGGAGGUCCGGUUGUGUGCUUGCCAUCAACCCCCAAUUUUUUUCAGGUUGACCUCGGAUCAGGUAGGGAUACCCGCUGAACUUAAGCAUAUCA
rnacentral:misc_RNA from 1 species